rnacentral:lncRNA from 12 species
AUGGCCAUGAUCUCCAAGUCACCGAUCCUCCAAGUUUCUAGUCUGAAAAAGGAAAGUAACCAUCUGAAGGGCAUACCUCUGCAGCCAGGGGUGCUGCUGGCUUCAUCUCACUUACUUUUGAUACCACAGCAUCUUUCUAGAACUGGCAGGAAGAGGGACAAUGGAUUUCCAGUGGGGUUUCCCAAGCUCCAGGCCUCAGGCUGCGUCUGGGGAGGCCGCGCCCCCGCGGGUCUACACUGGCUGCCUGGGCCCACGUUGGCAAGGUGCCUCCCCCGGCCCGGGAGGAGUGAAGACGUCCGCACUUGGAGGCUUUAUUAAGCUUAUUUCCUAAUGGCCUUGGGUAGCCAAGUGCAAGAGAGGGACACUUGCUUAUGCGCCGAGAGGACCCAUCAUAUUCUUUCUUGGUGCCAAUACGGUCCCUUUCUGCCAAUGAGAAACCUGUAAGUUGAUCAGCUACCAUACCCCAAUUACUCAAAAUGACACUACAGAUAAAACGGCAACCAAGGGGAGAAUCAACUGUAUGGCUUCUACGCAGCUAAAGUGUGUUUGAACAAAUGGUGAAGUAAAACCAUGAGAGCUCUCGGGAGGAUAAGGACGCUGUUACUUUGCACAUGCUUCAGAAAUGUGAAGUACAUCUUUACAGAACUUUUUGCCAACCCCCUGGCAGAUGUUGACCAGUUUUGCUUAUGUAUACAUCGGUUGCAGAACACUAAAACAGAGAUUGGAAAUUUUAAUUUAGUCAAGGCAGUUGGGCUAAAAUGAUGGCUUUUGUUGAAA